UUUAAAUUUUUAGCAACACGUAGCGAGUGGAGACAAAUUGACUCGUCUACAACAAAGAAGAUGUUUUGAUUUUGCCACCAAGAUUUAAAAAGUGCACAUGUGACAGGUAGAUGUCUCUGUAGACCGUUGUAGCGUCGUCUGCUUGGUAUGUUUUGUUGAGCACGUGUUCAUGUUCAUUUUUUGAGCUGCGUUUCUCGUAAAAAUUGUGUGUGAAGUGCUUCGAAAAGCCAUUUGGUGUGGGAAGAUAAAACAAAAUGAAUAUCUGAUUUCCGGUACAGAACAAUGGUGAAAAAUGAGAAAUAACGACUUCAGAGGGGGGUAAACCUUGUAUUGCUCAUACCACAUAUUAUUUCCCGAGUUUAGACUUUCUAUGAAGGUUAGAAGUGCUAUGAAGCUAUGUAGUUUAAACUUUCUACGACCAAAUGAUGAUGGUUCUUGGACAGAAUGACAGCUGUUAUACUUAAUACCCACAGCAAGUUAGUUUACUGUUGGGAAAUGGAGUAAAUACAGUGUUAACU